AGCAGUUCCAGGCCCACCUGCCUGGGCCCACCACUCUGAGGGUCAGUCUUUCCUCAACUGUGCACAUUUCUCCUACCUGUGGAAAGGACAUGGAGCCUCCACUCUGCCAGUCUUUCCCUGUAGCGUUGCCUUCUUGAACCACAGAUGUUGGAGGUCCAGCACAGUUCUCUGGGCAGGGUUGUUUUCUAGAUGAACUUAAGACUGUAGCUGGAAAACGUGAAUCUCUGCUUUGCCAGGUCCUAUGGCAGCAGAACCCCAGGAGAUGCGGCAGCCCACACAGACAAGCUUGUGUUUAAGGGCUCUGGCCAUCUGCUGUUGCUCCCCUUUCUCUGUGGCCAAAGCCCCACUCUGGAAAUUUCCAUCAUCGGUGGUCGUGUGUCGAUCACAGCACACUGGGUUCACUCCAUGGCCUCAUCCUUGGGUAGUGAGUUCCCACCCGUCCAGUGCUCCUCUCCAGCCUCAGUCACCAGCAUCUCCUACUUGGAUUAUUGCAACGGCUCCUAAGCAUCAGCAUUAAGCACCAACACAGAUGAAUCCUCCUCCUACAGACAUUAGAUCAUGUCACACCUCUGCCCAGACCUCCCAGUGGCUUCCAGUAUCAUGUUGAAUAAAAGAAAAGUCUUUCCCUGGGCCUGUCUUGAAAAAACUCAUAAUCUAACCAUUUAUCCACUUGUCCCUCACUGUCUCCUGCUACUUUACCCUUCACCCCUUUCCCGCCACACCAAACACACCACUGUUUGCAUUUCUGCUGGAACGCUCUUCCCCUAGAAAUCCACAAGACUCAUUCUCUCACUUGUUUCAAGCCUUUGCUUAAAGAACACUUCAUCUUUUUUUUUUUUUUUUUGAAUGGAGUAUCACUCUAUUGCCCAGGCUGGAGGGCAGUGGGGCGAUCUCAGCUCACUAACCUCUGCCUUUGGGGUUCAGGCGAUUCUUAUUCCUUAGCCUCCUGAGUAGCUGGGAUUACAGGUGCGCACCACCAUGCCCGGCUAAUUUUUGUGUUUUUAGUAGAGACGGGGUUUCACCAUGUUGGCCAGGCUGGUCUCAAACUCCUGACCUCAGGAAAUCUGCCUGCCUCGGCCUCCCAAGUUGCAAGGAUUACAGGCGUGAGCCACCAUGCCUGGCCAUGAACACUUUUUCUAGUGAGGCCUUCUCUGGCCUAUUUACUCUAUUUAAUUCUCUCUGUUUAUUCCCUCUGUUUAAGCCUCCUCCCUGCUCCCAGCACUCUCUAUUUCCCUUCCCCACCUCAUGCUUCUCUGCAGCCCUUGUCAUGUUCAGAAGUAGCCUAGAAUUUAUUUAUGAGCACGUACUCACUUUCCCAUUAGUAAACCCAGGAAGGCAGGGAGUCUCCUGUGUUCACUGCUGGGUCCCCAGUGCAGGGUGUAGGACAGGUGGUUAACAGCAUUUAUGGCAUGGUUGGAUGAACCUGUAUGUAUCUCACUUUGGUCUAGGGUCCAAGCAGGUGCUGUCACCGGGGAGCAGCAAGGAAUGUCACAACAAGUAAGACACCACCUGCCUCAUCCACCUGCCAAGCUGAUGGAUGGCUUUAUGGAUGACUUAUAGGGUUGCUUUUGGCUGCCUUCUGAUGGGACCACCUCUCUUCUCCACCCUCUCCAUCCCAAACUUGCUUUUCCUCCUCUCAUGUUUCCUAUUUUGGGGACAGGUACCACUAUUCAUUUUGUGUCUGCAGCUAGAAAUGGGGCACCCCUUACCUCCCCUCCGCUCACAUUCAUCAAGGCCUUUUGAAUCUAUCCCAUAAAUAUCUCCAUUGUCAGCCACCCUCCGUUGCCAUUGCCCUCACCACUAGCGCCUCCUGCCUUUGGAUCCUGACCACUGCUUUCCCACUAGCCUCUCUGGUGGCUCAUCUGCAACCAGAAGAUCUGCCCCUGGUGCAAAUCCUGUUAGGUCACUCCUCCUCUGCCUUAACCCCUCAGUGGCUCCCCUGUUCUGCUGCUCGAACUUGUCUGAGGAUCUGCCCCUGUCGACUUUGCCAGCUCCGUUCAUUCCAACUCAGUCACUACUCUUCGGCCAUAGGAGCUGCUGGCUGUGCUCCAGACUUUUUCUUACUGUUCCAUCCCUGUGCCUCUGCACAAGCUGAAACCUGCCCCUCCAUGUCCUCUCCUCAUCACACUUGAAGACAGCUCAGGUGUCACUUCCUUCAAGAAGCCAUUCCUUUUUUUUUUUUUUUUUUUGAGACAGAGUCUCACUGUAUCACCCAGGCUGGAGUGCAGUGGUGCGAUCUUGGCUCACUUCAACCAUCCUCCACCCUUUGGGCUUAAGCGAUUCUUUUGCCUCAGCCUCCUGAGUAGCUGGGAUUAUAGGUGCACACCAUCACACCCAGCUAAUUUUUGUAUUUUUAGUAGAGACAGAGUUGUGCCAUGUUGGUCAGGCUGGUCUUGAAUUCCCGAUCUCAAGUGAUCUGCCCGCCUCUGUCUCCCAAGUUGCUGGGGUUACAGGUGUGAGCCACCAUACCCAGCCAGGAAGCCAUCUCUUAAACCUGGGAUGAAUUGAGGCAUUUCCUUUAUGGUUCCCUUGUCCCCUGGGCUUCCCUGUGUCCUGGACCUGACUGUCAUUCCAGUGUCUGCCUAAACCACAGUGGAUGCUCAGUAAUAUUUGUUGAAUGGACUGUAUUUUCACUGCCUGUUUAUUUGCCUACAAAAAAUCAGUGAUUAAAAAAAUUUGUUCAGCAUA